rnacentral:rRNA from 1 species
UACGUAGGGAGCAAGCGUUGUCCGGAAUCAUUGGGCGUAAAGCGCGCGUAGGCGGCCUCAUAAGUCCGUUGUGAAAGUCAAAGGCUCAACCUUUGAAAGCCGAUGGAUACUGUGAGGCUAGAGUUCGGAAGAGGCGAGUGGAAUUCCUGGUGUAGCGGUGGAAUGCGCAGAUAUCAGGAGGAACACCAAUAGCGAAGGCAGCUCGCUGGGACGAUACUGACGCUAAGGCGCGAAAGCGUGGGGAGCGAACCGG